GUGCUGCUGCUCUGCAGUGUGGCCGCUGCUGUGAGGGGGAGAGGGGGGAGAUCGCAGCUCCAGCAGCACUCUGAGACUCGGGUGCGAAAGGAGAGCAGAGAGGCUGUGGGGGCUGAAGGACACUAUCAGGAGCUCUCUCACAGGGACACUGCAGUGUAUGAGGUCUGUGGGACUCAGCAUCAGCACAGGACACAGUAGAGCAGAGCUGCCCUCUGGAGCUGCACAGCAGGAGGACACAGCUGGAAGAAGAGAAGAAGAGACAAAAGCACAGAGGAGCUGUAAUGUUCUCACUCAGAUCAGCA